GCUACGGGUGGCAGCAGUGAGGAAUAUUGGUCAAUGGCCGGAAGGCUGAACCAGCCAAGCCGCGUGAAGGACGAAGGUGCCAAGCAUUGUAAACUUCUUUUGUCAAGGGACAAAAUCAGGCUCGAGAGCCUGACCGAGGGUACUUGAAGAAAAGGCAUCGGCUAACUGCGUGCCAGCAGCCGCGGUAAUACGGAGGAUGCGAGCGUUAUCCGGAUUUAUUGGGUUUAAAGGGUGCGUAGGCGGACUGUUAAGUCAGCGGUAAAAGCCCGGGGCUCAAACCCCGGACUGCUCUGGAAACUGUGUAACUGGAGGGCAGGAGAGGCAGGCGGAAUUCCUAGUGUAGCGGUGAAAUGCGUAGAUAUUAGGAGGAACACCAGUGGCGAAGGCGGCCUGCUGGACUGUAACUGACGUUGAGGCUCGAAAGCGUGGGGAGCAAACAGGAUUAGAUACCCGAGUAGUC
rnacentral:rRNA from 1 species